GUCACAGUCUGCUUUGCAGAACAACUGCUCUUUGCAAAAGAGCUGAUCCCCAGCCUGCAUCCUCACCGGUUCCACUGGAGACUUCUGAGCACCCCACAUGCUCCCACCACCUGCAGGCAUCUGGAGAGCCACCCCUGGAGGCAUCUGAGAUGCGUGGGUGAAACAAAGGACAUCCCACACUGGACACUGGCACUCGGUGCACUCUCCUCGCUCCAGCCCCAGCCCUCCUGCCCCUCCUCCAGAGGGCGCUGCACACGCCACCCCAAGACAGAAGAGCUGGUCACACCACCUCCCAUGCCCAGCCACUGGCCACCUCUUCAAGCAUGGCGCUGGCCAGCGUCCCUCUCAGCGUGUGGACUCAAGCCCCAGUGUGCACCCAAGCAGGCUCCGCAGGCUUCCUCCCACACUCAUCUGCACACUGCAAGCUCCAGUCCAGGCAUCUCCUGCUGUCCUCACUGCCAGGGCACGGUUCACAGCCUUCCUCUUUCUGACAUGCAGGUGAGCCCUGAGGUGCUGUGUGCUGUGCAGCAACCUUGGAGCUGCCGGCCAUUUUCAUGUUUCCUAGGUUGAUGGCUGUCCCUUAGUAUGGCUUAAGUGUGGCCCUCUGGAAUCCACCUGUUGAAGAUGUUAUGGUUUACAUCCGCAAGUCCCCCAGAGCCCCACACUCAGAGAUAGGGCCUGUGGAAGCCGAUUGGAUUAUGGGGUCUGCAGCUGGCUUGGUUUGGGGGCUCUGGUCUGAAGAGGCAGUCACCAGGGUGUGGCCUGCAAAGGUCUGGCCAGCCUCCCCUCCCUGUCUCCCUGCUGUCCGCCAUGAGCAGCUCUCCCCCACCCACACCUUUUCACCAUGCCGUUCUCCCCUGGAACUGACUCUGGGCUGAGACCUCUGUGAGCCAACGUAAACCUUUUCUCCUCCAAGUUAGGGUAUAGGGCACUGCAUCUCAGUGAUGAGAAGAAAAGUGACCAAGACAGAAAUGUCACGCCCAGUGCAACAGUGUUGGGAGGUUGGAUCCGAUGGAAGACGUUUAGACAAGAUAGGGUAUGGCCGUAGGAUGGACGACAUUUAGGUCAGGAGGGCUCCAUCCCAUGAAUGGAUUAAAGCUGCCGGAGAGAACUUGUGAGACUCCCCCUUCUCUCUCUCUCUCUCUCUCUCUCUCUCUCUCUCUCUCUCUCUCUCUCUCUCUCU
rnacentral:lncRNA from 1 species